GCAUUGAUAAAUCAAGGUUUUUCUUUCCCCUGCUAAGGGAGUAGGCGUGUAAAAAGCGCGCGAGGGUUCAAAUCCCUCCUUCUGCG
rnacentral:tRNA from 1 species